rnacentral:tRNA from 1 species
GCGGCUUGGUUCAGUCACGUCCAACUCAUGGACGGCAAAAUUCGUAAUGAUGGGGUCGGGGGUUCGAGUCCCUUAGCUCGCACCA